GCAGCGUUGCGGUCCGGACAGAGCAAAAAAAACAAGGCAUCAGUAUUGUUGAGUAUUAGCUUGUGCCUGGUCCGGGGGCUGAGUUUGCGGGAGUAGGCAGAGGACGCAGCGGUGGUCGCCCUGCUCCGCACCGGGCCCGGGAGUUUCGAGCGACACAAAGGCGGGAGCUGUCCGCGGUUCUGAACCGGCGCGGCGCGGCCAAGGGCUCCUCUCUUCUCUCCUCCUUCUGUGUGACCCCUGACUUUCUAGGCUUUUAUUUCUCUCUCUUUUUGGGGGAGAGCCGCCUCAGAACGUGUGUCAGAUAGGGAGCUGCGUCUCAGAGCUGCGGAGAGUCUGUAAACCCACUUGGGUGGCCCCGGAAUAGUUGGAGAAGGGAGGUGAGGGCCGUCUUCUAGGACCAGGGGCAGAGAGCUCCACUUCCAAUACCGGACGGGGCUGGGGCAGCCUGGCCUCACAGGGAGCUCACCACCGUGGUUUCCCCCAGGCCCUCUGGUGGCUGUCACCCCAUGGGGGACCUUCCUUCACAUGACAAUAAAAGUGGUCUGCAAAGAUGCAUCUCCAUUCAGUGUCUCCUGCUCUCCAGCCCUGGAACAAAACAAGGAAGCACUUAGCUCCUGAGGAGAGAGGGCUUUUGGGGUGGGGGUGGGGUUUAGGAAGGUGAGUGAGGUGUAUGCAAAGUGGGUAAUCUCGUCUGCAAUGCCAGGGUCCUCACUGCAGCUGCAGGUCACCCAUCCCAACCCCAGGCUGCUCCCAGACAGGCAGGGGAGCUCUGCAAGUCGACGUGAGACUCCACGCAGUGCCCGAGGGCUCCCAGGGACACCCAAGGAGGCGCUCAUUUAUUCACUCACUCACCACCAAGUGUAUCACGCUGGGCCCUUCUGGCUUAGGUGCUCG